rnacentral:lncRNA from 10 species
AAGUGAAGAAGGACAUGUUGGCUUCCCCUUCUGCCAUGAUGAUUUCUUCUGAAUUUUGUCCUUGGAGGUGUGGGAAGAAUGAAUAUUGAAUAUUCAUACUCAACAUGAAUAUUUUGGAAGCUGGGCCUGAAAGUUAAGGUUCACUGAAAGCUAAAAAUGAGAUGAACUCAGUGAAAGUACUGUGGAAAGAGGCACCUGGCUGGAUAUUUGAAUCUUCUUAACCCUGAGCUCUGCUUCAGUCUCAUCUGUUGUGUUCAUGACAUGACUCUCUAAUCACUAUGGGCAAUUGGGAAAAUGGUUAUUUUCAAAAAGAAAUUGACUUGUCUCUUCGUAGUUUAAUGUAGAAGCAGGUAUAGUUUGGUUAUGGUGAAAUCUGGUCCAAUGACGGCAUCCACAGAUGAGGCCAAAGCUUGAAUGCCCUUGGAGCCUAUACUGCUUUUAGGCCCUGGCAGAAACAUGGUUUUUAAAUCACAUUCCAAAGUGCAAUUACCAACAAUGAAUAAAUACAUCAUAACAAUGGGGGAAGCAGAAAAUGACUUUAGAAAGACAGAGUGAUCUUUUGAGACACAGUCUAUAUAAUUCCUAGGAAGCCCUGAUAGUAUCUUCUUGGGAAAUCUCCCUGCUGCAGGAAACUGCCUUCCUAGAUUUUACCUCACUGCCUCUAGUUGCAGUUACUUCAGGUAAACAGACCUCCUUUUAACUGUGACUCUUCCUCAGAGAACCAAAAUAUGCUUUGUUUUUUCUUGGGCCCUAUAGGAUCCUGGUUUGGGAUAAAUCUCAUAUGUCUAUUUUCCAAAGAUCAUUUUGGUUUCUCUGUAUUUGUAAAUGCACUUGAUUGUAAUCACAAAAGAAAAGACAGUGAUGCACUGUGUUGGCUCUGAAGAAAAACAUUGACCAGACAGAAAGUCUUCCCCAUAGCCAAACUGAGCUGUAAUGACCGUGCUUUUCAUUUCUCCCAGGAAAUAGUAAUAUAAUUGGUCACUGUAUUACAGUAAACAGUUUGUUCAUUCUUUGUUCAGUAGAAAAUGUUUGGGAGAUAUGUCUCACAUAAUAUGCUGGCUUCACGAUAAUAAAGACUGGGAAUAGAUUUGUUUCUAAAUAAAUCUCAAUAAAUACAUUGGUAAAAUGAACACAGUAGGAA